UACGGAGGGUGCGAGCGUUAAUCGGAAUUACUGGGCGUAAAGCGUGCGCAGGCGGUUUUGUAAGCCGGAUGUGAAAUCCCCGGGCUUAACCUGGGAAUGGCAUUCGGGACUGCAAGGCUGGAGUGCGGCAGAGGAGACUGGAAUUCCUGGUGUAGCAGUGAAAUGCGUAGAUAUCAGGAGGAACACCGAUGGCGAAGGCGGCA
rnacentral:rRNA from 1 species